GGCUCUGGGCUUUAGGUAAUCCCCCUGUGCGGUUUCCCCAUGGGCUCUGACUUCUGCCUCACUGAAGCCUGGAGUGCUGUUACCUUCUCCAAAAGGGUCUUUCUGCCCUAAAAUGCCCUGUUCCGCUCACGGCCUCUGCAGCCCCAUCGUAACCCCUGGCUGUGGACACUAGCCUCAGCCGCCACGUAAUCUCUGAGCCUCAUGCUGUCCGCCUGGAGUGCAGAGAAGAUGCUUUUCUUUCCAGCCGGGACACCCUGGAAUUGUCUGUCCCCCUCUUCCUGAGGCUCCUCGGAAAAGGGACAGAAGGUCUGGAGGUCGCUCAGGGCCUUCUCUACCCAGAGGCAGGGGCUGGGCCUCCAGGGUCCGGGUCUCCAGGGUCCGUGGCUUCAACUUUUGGAAUCUCAGAAAAUCCCAGAAGUGACCACUGGCCUGGGGUGGCAGAAACCCACCAGACCGGGAAGCAAAACUAACUCACUGCCCAGCUGAGCCCCCCACCUUGCCCCGAGUCCCACGCAGCCCAAGGUCCGGGUCACCUACGACCGCAUCUUGGUGUCAGCACUGGGUCCAGGAGAAGCCGGGGACGGCCCUCCCCUGCGGGCCUCUCUUUCCCGUUGUCAACGGGAGUUAGUGGCAGUGAGGCCAGGCCUGGGAGGGGUGAAGGCAGAGGGGGCAGGGAGGCACCAGGAGAGGCCGGUCCCCAAGCCCAGCUGCCUGGCUUCUCGCCCGUGAGGCUCGCCAGCCUCGGAGCACUCCAGUGAUAAAGCGUUCUUGAGGGAUUUUCCUUUGUCAACAAAACCAAGCAGUGAAAGCAGACAGGGACAGCUCUCCACCCCCAGUCCCAGUUUGAUUCACUGGCAAACUGCAGUGGAAGGCUCAUGGGGGCCAAGGUACAGCCUGGGCUCCCCCCACACCCCAUUCGGUCCAAGGCUUUCUCCCCUAGGGACAGGCAGGUCCCUCUGAGGCGUCAGCACCUCCUUAUCACUGGUUCCUCUGGGGGCCCUGAGGGUCACAGGGACCUGCCCCACAGAGCUGGGAGCAGAGGGUAAUUAUCUAUCAGUUACCAGCCGGCUGGCGUGCCAGGAGCCCCAGGAGUCACGGCACAGAGGCCGGACGCAAGCACAGGCAGCAGGGCUGGGCAGCACCCGCACGGUGGGACACCAGAGCUGGGAGCAAGCCCCUGGAUCCACAGGGCUUCGGAGGAGGAGCCCUGGGUGAAGGCGACAGCAUCUUCCUCCCCAGUUCGUGCCCCACCCCCACCCCUGCCCCAGCAUCCACAGAGCCCCAGACCACAUGCAGUGCAUUCCAAGCAUGGUGAAGACCCCAUCAGCAUCCCCAGACCAUGGGAGGAAGGGAGGAAGAGCUCCCACAAGGGGUCCGGGGUAGUCGGUGUUGGAGGGGAUGACAGGCGCCGGCGACAUGGUGUCGAAGGUGGAGCUGGGCUGUGCGUAGGGAGAGUGGGUAGGCACGCUGGCGGCGUGCUCUGGGGUGUAGGGGCUGGCCGAGGCCGCGCGGCUGCUCAUCUGGUCCAUGGUGCUGCUCAGCAGAUUGAACUGGGCCUGGCGCGGGAAAGGGGAGGAGGGAGGGGGAAACACACACAGUCAGUCGUCCUGUCCCGUCUAGGAGGUGUCCUGUUCCCAGGCUCAGCCCCUUCCUGCACCUCAGCCUUCUCCAUCAGAGGUGGUUGGGUUUAGUGACCCAGAGGCCCUUGGCUCUGCAGGUCCUAGGACACACAUCCACUGAGGUUCCUGACGAGGGCCGCAUCCCCCGGCCCCUCCAGCAUCCAAUGGAGAAGGACGCCAGGCAAGUCCGGAGUUUGCAUCCUCUCUGAGUCCUCUACUGAGUCCUCCACUGAGUGCCGUCCAACGUGGAGGCAGCUCAGCCUGGGAUGCCGGAGGGGCAGGAGGCAGGGGACUGCUGCUCACCAGAGCCAUCACCACUGUUCCCAGGGCCACCAAAGGCCAGGCAGGCCCUCUCCCUGCGUGUUCCAGCCCAGGACAGCCAACAGCCCCAGCAGGCCUGAGGCGCCAGGGCGACCCGUGCCCUGGCUCCACUGCAAGGGUCUUGGCACGAGGCCUCGGCUGAAGCUGCCAUCAUCUGGCACCAUUAAGCUGGCUGUGAGCUGUCAACCUGGGGAGCCCACCCACCAAUGGAACGGGGACCCCCUGCAGCACGGGCCCUGCCCACCUCUCUGGCACCACUGCAGCCUCCUUCCUGGUCUGUCGUGCUCCCCACAACAUUCCUAACUUCCUGCACCACAGGUCCUUCCCAGGAGCCCAGGGUCCACUGAAUGGCAAAUGGAUAAAGAAACAGUGUGUCUGUACAGUGGCCUCUUCCUCGGCCAUAAGACAGAAGGAAGCUCCCACACGCUGCCACGUGGAUAAGCCAUGGUGCCAGCUUAAAAACAUCACGCGGGGACGCCCGUAAUCCCAGCAUUCUGGGGGGCAGAGGCGGGAGGAUCUCUUGAGCCCAGGAAUCUGAGA
rnacentral:lncRNA from 1 species